AUCUUGUACUUCCAACAGUCAGUGUUGCAUGUUUGUGAAUAAUGAAUACAAUUUGUUUUUCGACUCGAUGAAAAUUCUAACUUGUAGGAUGAUUCCUAGUUUAAGGGUAACUUUGGGUCAGCUGCAUGGAUAUGGUCACAAGAUCCGGUGAUAAACUGGUCCUGCCCUGCGUGCAACACAGUUGCUAGACAUAUCAGUGUUUUGAAUCUAACACUACACUUCCACAUUUAUGAUGACUGGUUCCUGCCGCUGUAAAUAAAAAUGACAAAUAAAAAUUAUGCUAGAGUUCCUCA